rnacentral:rRNA from 1 species
GACGAACGCUGGCGGCGUGCUUAACACAUGCAAGUCGAGCGGUAAGGCCCUUUCGGGGGUACACGAGCGGCGAACGGGUGAGUAACACGUGGGUGACCUGCCCUUAGCUCUGGGAUAAGCCUGGGAAACUGGGUCUAAUACCGGAUAUGACUCCAUAACGCAUGUUGUGGGGUGGAAAGCCUUGUGCGGCUAGGGAUGGGCCCGCGGCCUAUCAGCUUGUUGGUGGGGUGAUGGCCCACCAAGGCGACGACGGGUAGCCGGCCUGAGAGGGCGACCGGCCACACUGGGACUGAGACACGGCCCAGACUCCUACGGGAGGCAGCAGUGGGGAAUCUUGCGCAAUGGGCGAAAGCCUGACGCAGCGACGCCGCGU